rnacentral:lncRNA from 1 species
ACAUCCACCCAAAAAGGCAAAAAAUGAAGUGAGGCAACAGCCAACAGUUGCACCUUCGUAUCGUUGCCUCACACCCACACAAGACCCAACAAUUGCAGCCACAUCAUUCAGCAAUCGUCGAUUGAGUUCAAACUAGAGCAAACGCGACACAGCUACACGAGGCCAGCACGGCAGCACGCGACGCAGCAGUGAACUCAGCAGCACCAACAGCGCACGCAAACCAACAACAACCAUCACCAACUCUACCCCAAGUAAGCUUUGAUUUUUUUUUAUUAUUGUAGAAAUUCUGAGAUUACUGAAGCCAUUGUUGAUGUUGUAAUGGAGAGUAGUUUUGUGGAAGAAUCGAGAGAGGGAGAAUGAAGAAGAAGAAGAAGAAGAAUGUUUCAUUGUUGCCAUAGAAAGUGGAUAACGAAGAAGAAGCAUUGUGUUUCAGUUUCAGCCACAAGUUCUUUUAAAAAUUAUUGAAGGGUAUUUAACAUUUACCUAGUUUAUCACUUUUAAUUUGCAGGUUUUUAUUUGAUAGGCACUUUCUCGUUUGUCAUUAAAAUUAAGCAAAUUUUUCACUUACAUGUAUAUUAUUGUCUUUUUUUAUUAUUAUGAGAUUUAGAG